rnacentral:rRNA from 1 species
CAGUAGCCACGGUAAUACGAAGGGUGCAAGCGUUACUCGGAAUUACUGGGCGUAAAGCGUGUGUAGGUGGUUGUUUAAGUCUGUCGUGAAAGCCCUGGGCUCAACCUGGGAAUUGCGAUGGAUACUGGGCGACUAGAGUGCGGUAGAGGAUAGUGGAAUUUCCGGUGUAGCAGUGAAAUGCGUAGAGAUCGGAAGGAACAUCUGUGGCGAAGGCGACUAUCUGGGCCAACACUGACACUGAGACACGAAAGCGUGGGGAGCAAACAGGAUUAGAUACCCCUGUAGUCCCUGUCUCUUAUAC